GCAGUAGCCACGGGAAUACGUAGGGUGCAAGCGUUAAUCGGAAUUACUGGGCGUAAAGCGUGCGCAGGCGGUUUGUUAAGACAGAUGUGAAAUCCCCGGGCUCAACCUGGGAACUGCAUUUGUGACUGGCAAGCUAGAGUGUGGCAGAGGGGGGUGGAAUUCCGCGUGUAGCAGUGAAAUGCGUAGAUAUGCGGAGGAAUACCGAUGGCGAAGGCAGCCCCCUGGGAUAGCACUGACGUUCAUGCCCGAAAGCGUGGGUAGCAAACAGGAUUAGAUACCCGGGUAGUCCCUGUCUCUUAUAC
rnacentral:rRNA from 1 species